AACGUAGGAGGCAAGCGUUAUCCGGAGUUACUGGGCGUAAAGCGCGUGUAGGCGGCUCGGUAAGUGGGUCGUGAAAGCGCCCGGCUAAACUGGGCGAGGACGAUCGAGACUGCCGGUGCUCGAGAGUGGUAGAGGGACAGGGAAUUCCGGGUGUAGCGGUGAAAUGCGUAGAUAUUGGGAGGAACACCGGUGGCGAAGGCGGCCACCUGGGCCGGAACUGACGCUGAGGCGCGAAAGCGUGGGGAGCAAACGGG
rnacentral:rRNA from 1 species